CCAGUCCCUUCACCUCUCAGCCCCUUUGUUUCCCAUCACUGCAGGAAGGGGUGAACUUAAACUGGUGUUUCUGGAACCGUCGUGGACGCCAGAAGGAAGGAUGGUGUGCUCUUCAGACUCCUGCUGGGCCUCUAGCUGUGAAAAAGGAGCCUAGAAUUGUUCCCCAGGAAGCUCCUCUUUCCAAGCCCGAGAGAUGAGGAACGUUGCUGUGCACAAGGACAUGCCUGAAAACAGGAGCAAGCGAGCACCAGGAAGCAGGAAGGGGAGAAGACUGGCCAAAACAGCAGCGGAAGAGAUAAAGGAGUUGAGCCUUGGCCUCUGGUAAAAUGUCUGUCGUGUGAAGGAGCCACAGCAGAAGACAGCUGUUUUUUGGAGCCUCCGGGGCAUAAGCAGGGCUGCGGUGAUGCUGAUGCCAGUAGGAUUCGGGUGGCCUGAAUUGUGGAAAGG